AUUUAAGAUAAUUAUUGAUAUGUAUGUUCCCGUUGCUUUUUUUCUUCACUGUUUUCAUUUGUUUUUGUAGUUCAUUUUCUUCUUUUGUUUCUUGCCUAGAGAAGUUCUAUUAACAUUUGUUGUAAAGCUGUGGUAUUGAAUUCUAUUAACUUUUUCUUGUCUGUAAAGAUAUUUAUUUCUCUGUUGAAUCUGAAUGAGAACCUUAUUGGGUAGAAUAUUCUUGGUUAUAGGUUUUCCCCUUCAUCACUUUAAAUAUAUCCUGCCACUCCCUCUGGCCUGUAGAGUUUCUGCUGAAAAACUGACUGAUAACCUUAUGGGGAUUCCACUGUAUAUUAUUUGUUGCUUUUCCCUUGCUACUUUUAAUAUUUUUUCUUCAUGUUUAAUUUUUGUUAGUUUGAUUAAUAUGUUUCUCUUGUGUGGGACUCUGUACUUCGGUUACUGUUUCCUUUCCCAUGUUAGGGAAGUUUUUUGACCAUAAUCUCUUCAAAUAUUUUCUCAGACCUUUUGUCUUACUCUUCUUCUGGGACCCCUAUAAUUCAGAUGUUAGUAUGUUUAAUAUUUUCUCAGAGGUCUCUGAGACAGUCCUCAUUUCUUUCCAUUCCUUUUUCUUUAUUUUGCUCCCUGGAAGUUAUUUCUACCAUUCUAUCUUCCAGCUCACUUGUUUGUUCUUUCUCAAUUAUUCUGUUAUUGAUUCCUUCUAGUAUAUUUUUUAUUGCAUUUAUUGUGUUGUUCAUCAUUGUUUGUUUGUUCUUUAGUUCUUGUUGCUGUUGUUUGGUCACCAAGUUGUGUCUGAUUCUUUGUAAUCCCAUGGACUGUAGCCUGCCAGGCUCCUCUGUCCAUGGGACAGAUGUCCAUUGGAUUCUCCAGGAAAGAAUACUGGAGUGGAUUGCCAUGCCCUCCUCCAGGAGAUAUUUCUGACCCAGGGAUAGAGCCUGUGUCUGUUGCAUCUCCUGCAUCAGCAAGUGGGUUGUUUACCACUUUAGGUCCUUGUUGAAUGUAUCUUGCAUCGUGAUCCGUACUUCCAUUCUGUUUCUCAGAUCUUGGACUGUGUUUACUAUCACUCUGAAUUCUUUUUCAGGGACAUUGCCUGUUUCCUCUUCAUUUAUUUGGUCUUGUAGGUUUUUACCUUGCUUACCAACAUAUUUCUCUUUUUCAUCUCAUUUUAUCUAACUUACUGUCUUUGUGAUCUCUUUUCCUCAAGCUGGAUGCUCCCAAAGCAGCUGCUAAAGCUAGAUACGUCUCAGUUGUGGAAGCACUUGUCCAUUUAGAUGUGCUGUGGACGCUUGGUUUACCAAGCUCAUCAUGGGGGUUUAAUCCAUGGCUUGUGCAGCUGCACAGAGAGAUUUCAGUCUCUCUUCCUUGGUUGCACAGCCCCUGAGCCUUCUGCUUUGGUUUUGACCCUACCUCUGCAUGUGGGCCACCCUCAGGCAUCUGUUAUCUGCCCAGGCAAGAGGCAGUGGAGGCAUUGACUGACUGGGGCAGGCUUGCUCACUUAUGUGGGAAAGGCAAGAGGUAGUGACUGACCGGGGUGUGUGUGCUCAGCUCCAGUGGGAUUCCCUGUCUAGUGCCC
ensembl:lncRNA